GAUUAACGCUGGCGGCGUGCCUAAUACAUGCAAGUCGAGCGAACGGACGAGAAUCUUGCUUCUCUGAUGUUUGCGGCUGGCGUGUGGGUGACACGUGGAUAACCUCCCUAUAAGACUGCGAUGACUUAGGGAAUCCGGAGCUGAUACGGGGUAAUAUUUUCAACCACAUGAUUCAAAAUUAAAAGACGGUCUUGCUGUCUCUUAUACAUUGAUCCGCGCUGCAUUAGCUAGUUGGUAAGGUAACGGCGUCCCAUGGCAACGAUGCAUAGCAGACCUGAGAGGGUGAUCGGCCACACUGGAACUGAGACACGGUCCAGACUCCUACGGGAGGCAGAAGUAGGGAAUCUUCCGCAAUGGGCGAAAGCCUGACGGAGCAACGCCGCGUGAGUGACGAAGGCAGUCGGAUCGUAAAACUCUGUUAUUAGGGAAGAACAUAAGUGUAAGUAACUGGGCACAACUUGACGGUACCUAACCAGAAAGCCACGGCUAAUUACGUG
rnacentral:rRNA from 1 species